UGGCUCAGAACGAACGCUGGCGGCGUGCUUAACACAUGCAAGUCGAACGGUGACCUCGGAGCUUGCUCCGGGCGAUCAGUGGCGAACGGGUGAGUAACACGUGAGUAACCUGCCCCAGACUCUGGGAUAACCCCGGGAAACCGGAGCUAAUACCGGAUACGACGCGAAGAGGCAUCUCUAUCGCGUGGAAAGUUUUUCGGUCUGGGAUGGACUCGCGGCCUAUCAGCUUGUUGGUGAGGUAACGGCUCACCAAGGCGAGGACGAGUAGCCUGCCUGAGAGGGCGACUCGGCCACACUGGGAUUGACUCACGGCCCAGAGACCUACGGGAGGC
rnacentral:rRNA from 1 species